UGGGGAAUAUUGCACAAUGGGCGAAAGCCUGAUGCAGCGACGCCGCGUGAGUGAAGAAGGUCUUCGGAUCGUAAAACUCUGUCCUUGGGGACGAAAAAAUGACGGUACCCAAGGAGGAAGCCCCGGCUAACUACGUGCCAGCAGCCGCGGUAAUACGUAGGGGGCGAGCGUUGUCCGGAUUUACUGGGCGUAAAGGGUGAGUAGGCGGUUAUUUAAGUCAGAUGUAAAAGGCUAUGGCUCAACUAUAGUAAGCAUUUGAAACUGGAUGACUUGAGUGCAGGAGAGGUAAGUGGAAUUCCUAGUGUAGCGGUGAAAUGCGUAGAUAUUAGGAGGAACACCAGUGGCGAAGGCGACUUACUGGACUGUAACUGACGCUGAGUCACGAAAGCGUGGGUAGCAA
rnacentral:rRNA from 1 species